UGUGGGUCUUCUGCCCCCUUAUUGGCUGCUUGGCUCCUGAGCUCUGGGCUGCCCUGACUGUGUGGAGAUGCUGGAGUUUGAGCACAGAGCUAGUAAACAAUAAAGCAGGGAAAAAUCUCCUGUCAGAAAUCUCCUCUGGCUAUCAUGCAGAUAGGAAUGGUUCAGAACAAACAAAUUUACUACAGUUUGGCUGGUUUGUCUUUAAAUCUAUUUUCUUUUUCCUUUGUUGUGAGAGGGAGGUCUGGAGGAUCCUCCAUGUGGCCAAACAAUCUGUCAUGAGAGGAAGGAAGGGCCAAUGGUAGGGUGCUAGCCUGGGACUUAGACUCAGCUUGAGAAUGUUUAAACGUUGCAGAAUCUUCAGGGUAUCGGAUGAGAAUGAUCACGUAGAUAAUAAAAAUCUUCCUUGCUGGAUCUAAAUAUCAAGAAUAUUCACAGAGACAAGGUGGGUGAGAUAAUCUUUUAUUGGACCAACUUCUGUUGAUAGAGACAGAGGCCUGGUCUACACUACAAAGUAGCAUCAAUGUAAGUUGCCUUGCAUCGCCUAGCUGGGCAUGUAUCUACACUUAAAUUUCUCUCCCACUGAUGCAAAUGCUCCAUUACAGCAAUGCCAUAAUACUACCUCCCUGAACAGCGUAAAGCCAAGGUUGAUGUACUGAGGUUUAUGCAGGGUGAGCAUAGACACUGUCUUGCCUUUAUUGACCCUAACUGUCCUCCAGCAGCUGUCCCACAAUGCGCAACACUGAGCACUCUGGUCACAAUUUUGAACUCCACUGCUCAGGGUUCACAGAGCCUGAAGGUCCCGCUCCCCUUUAAAGCCCUGUAAAUUUUUGAAAUGCCUUUUCCUGACUUUCCAGCUUGGUGAGCACACCUAGCAGCUCUCCUCUGUUGUGUGCAACUUCACAGCUGACCAUGCUGGUGAUAUGCUCCAGGCACGCUCCAGCUUUGAGUAGACAGGAGAUAUUGGAUCUCCUGGGCCUGUGGGAAGAAGAGGCUUUGCAAGCACAGCUAUGGACUGGCUGUAGAAACAUGAACCUCUAUGAACAAAUUGUGGGGGGGAUGCAAGAGAAGGGAUAUGACAGGGACUAGCAGCAGCACCAUGUUAAAAGGAAGGAACUGAGUCAGGCAUAUCAGAAAGCCAUGGAGGUGAAAAGUCGACCCAGUACCAAGCCGCUGACCUGCACCUUUACAAAAGGCUGCAUUCCAUACUUGGUGGAGACCCCACUACCACCCCACAGACUACUGUGGAUACUUCUGCGAAGCCCAAGUCACAGCCCCCUGGUGUGAACAGUGUGGAGAAGGACAUGCAACUGGAGAGGGUCGAGCUAUGCUGAUGGCCAGGACCUGUUAGAGACUCCACCGCAGUCCUGGCAGUCAAGCACGGCUGCUGCUGUUGCAGCCUUGAGGGGACUUCCCCUUCACACCCUUGAAAUGCUUGAGCCAGAUAAGGAGGAGAAAGAAGAGGACUCGGGAUGACACAUUCAAUAAGAUCAUGCAAGCCAAUGCUGCACCAGACUGUGAGGAAAGGUCCUGGAGGUUGAACAUUGCAGACAGCCUGGGGAAGGAAAGAGAAGACGGGAGAAAGGACUUGCGAAGCUAGCAAGAAAAAGAAAGGAAGAUGCACCAGAACAUAAUGGGGCUUCUCCGGCAGCAAACACAGAUACUGCAGGCUCCUGGAGACUUACAGGUUCAACAAUAACAGGCUGACCUCUCUUUGCAGUCAAUGAAGAAUGCCAUUACCACACUUCUGUACAAACCCCCUCAGCAUGCCACGUGAUGUCAGGGGCUGCUUCUCUACCCCUAGCACUCCAUCCCGGGAAACAUGGACAACCACAGCGUCACAUACUCUGAUGGGUGAAAGCCAUGGUUGCUAUGUGUAGGUAUUUGUAGGUUAAAAUGGACAUGAAUGCUCUGUCCCCUUGUUAAGUUCUAUUUCAUUAAUUUAUUAAUUUUUAAAUAUAUUUGCUUUUAAAUUGCACA